UACGUAGGGUGCGAGCGUUGUCCGGAAUUACUGGGCGUAAAGGGCUCGUAGGUGGUUUGUCGCGUCGUCUGUGAAAUUCUGGGGCUUAACUCCGGGCGUGCAGGCGAUACGGGCAUAACUUGAGUACUGUAGGGGUAACUGGAAUUCCUGGUGUAGCGGUGAAAUGCGCAGAUAUCAGGAGGAACACCGAUGGCGAAGGCAGGUUACUGGGCAGUUACUGACGCUGAGGAGCGAAAGCAUGGGUAGCGAACAGGAUUAGAUACCCUGGUAGUCCAUGCCGUAAACGGUGGGCGCUAGGUGUGAGGGUCUUUCUACGACUUUCGUGCCGUAGCUAACGCAUUAAGCGCCCCGCCUGGGGAGUACGGCCGCAAGGCUAAAACUCAAAGGAAUUGACGGGGGCCCGCACAAGCGGCGGAGCAUGUGGAUUAAUUCGAUGCAACGCGAAGAACCUUACCUGGGCUUGACAUACAUCAGAUCGCUGCAGAGAUGUAGUUUCCCUUUGUGGUUGGUGUACAGGUGGUGCAUGGUUGUCGUCAGCUCGUGUCGUGAGAUGUUGGGUUAAGUCCCGCAACGAGCGCAACCCUUGUCUUAUGUUGCCAGCAUUUGGUUGGGGACUCAUGAGAGACUGCCGGGGUUAACUCGGAGGAAGGUGGGGAUGACGUCAAAUCAUCAUGCCCCUUAUGUCCAGGGCUUCACACAU
rnacentral:rRNA from 1 species